GCAUUGAGACCUGUCAACCAGCCAAUUCAUGACGAGAAGCCACACCUAACGACAAGCAUUGAGACCUGUCAACCAGCCAAUUCAUGAUGAAAAGAUUAACAUGCAGAAGUUUGAAUAAUGUGUCUGUUAUUAUUAAAAUAUUUUUUUUAAGAUUCAUCCCAUAUCACAAUAGUGGAACCUUAUGCCAUAGAGGGGAAAAAUAUCAAAACCAAAUGUGUAUCCCAAUGUGUCAUUAA
rnacentral:lncRNA from 1 species